rnacentral:lncRNA from 1 species
GUUUUUGCUUCCAGCAAGACAACGUGGUGUGUUUCCAUUGCAUGCACUGAAGCACCUGACUGAAUGAGUCCGAGUGACAGAAGUCAGGAUUGAGAACAGCCUGUGGAUCUAGCAGAUCCUCUUGAAUCUAUGUAUUACCUGAAUGAAACAUUCAAUGUCAUAAAAAAUAGCCUUUCUUUAUAUUAGUCUCCAGGGCAAUUUCUCCUAAGGUGCCUUAAUAGAAUUACUAAUACUUCAAAUCAUCCUAUACAUUCAUCAACAUCAGUGUUUUCUCAUCAGUAAAUUUACUCAUAGCUUUUACGCAGCUUUUCCCCACAUUUUUUGGCUGCUGAUAUGAGUACUCUGGGUAUGGAUGUAAUAUUCGGGAAGUUGCGUGUGUGCAGUGUGAUUGCUGAUAUCAAGUGUGCUUCCCAAAAGCACCAGAUGCGGUUCUAAAUCAAGCUGAGCCUCCGAGCUUUGGGAAGUGGCUGAUAUCACAGAGCCUCAGGAAGACUGUAAAGGUGUUGCCAAAUGGCACAUGUCCAAUUAGCUUCCUCAGUGGCAUAUUUAGGACAACUAGGGGAGACUGGUGGAUACGGGAGACUUACGGGCUGAGAAGAAAGAAAUAACUGGAAUGGAUUGGUAUGAUCUUUUGAAAGAGCUUUGAUACCAGGUGAUGGCCAGGUGCGGUGCUGACAAACAAAGACUGGUACUCUUGACCAGAGUUUCCCAGCGUAUAAUGUAAGCUUGGAAUAUAUCUUCAUUUGGAUUCAACGCAUUUAUUUUUCAUAUGAAGAUUUUUGAAUAUCAUGCACGUUUCCACGUUUCAGAACAUUGUGUACAGGCUCAUGUAGAGUAGAAUGAACUAUUCUCAGCACACAACAUAUUUAUCAAAUAUAGUUUAGUUGCUUUAUCUUUUAAAUAUCUUUUAAAUAAAUAAUUUGUAAACAAGAUCCA